rnacentral:misc_RNA from 1 species
UCUUAUAAAAUGUAUAUAUCAUAAAAAAUUAUAAAAUUAAGAAAAAUAAAAGAAAAUUAUUAUUUUAUUUAGUAUUUUUAGGCUUAGAAAUUAUGUUAAUUAAUGUAAUUCACGUACCACGAAUAAAAUUGAUAUAAUUUGCGUACUGUGUACCGAAUUAACGUAUGAACUAGGUGUUCCCCUACAUACCCUAUAUUUAGAUAAAUGGAGUACCACGUACCCGUACUGGUACCACGAUCCAAGGCGUACAAUGUUCUAGGUAACUAUGGUAAAGAGUACUAGGUAGACAAACUCAAUCAUUGUAUAAGAAGGUCCUCUAAUAUUUUAUUCUUGAUACUAUUGUCUAAAGUUGAUGCAACUUUUCCUAUUUAAUUGUUCUCAUGAUUUCUUUACAGAGGAUGAUACAAGCAUACCUA